rnacentral:rRNA from 1 species
AGAGUUUGAUCCUGGCUCAGGACGAACGCUGGCGGCGUGCCUAACACAUGCAAGUCGAACGGAGAAUUUCAAUAAGCUUGCUUAGAGAAAUUCUUAGUGGCGGACGGGUGAGUAACGCGUGGGUAACCUACCCAUAAAGCCGGGACAACCCUUGGAAACGAGGGCUAAUACCGGAUAAUCUUAAGAGUUGGCAUCAGCUUUUAAGGAAAGGUGGCCUCUGAAAAUGCUACCGAUUAUGGAUGGACCCGCGUCUGAUUAGCUAGUUGGUGGGGUAAAGGCCUACCAAGGCGACGAUCAGUAGCCGGCCUGAGAGGGUGAACGGCCACACUGGGACUGAGACACGGCCCAGACUCCUACGGGAGGCAGCAGUGGGGAAUCUUCCGCAAUGGACGAAAGUCUGACGGAGCAACGCCGCGUGUAUGAUGAAGGUCUUCGGA